AACGCGAAGAACCUUACCUGGGCUCGAAAUGUAGUGGACUGGGGUAGAAAUAUCCCUUUCUCGCAAGAGACUGCUAUAUAGGUGCUGCAUGGCUGUCGUCAGCUCGUGUCGUGAGAUGUUGGGUUAAGUCCCGCAACGAGCGCAACCCUUACCCCCAGUUGCCAUCAUUUAGUUGGGCACUCUGGUGGAACCGCCUCGGAUAACGGGGAGGAAGGUGGGGAUGACGUCAAGUCCUCAUGGCCUUUAUGUCCAGGGCUACACACGUGCUACAAUGGCCGGUACAAACCGUCGCAAACCCGUGAGGGGGAGCUAAUCGGAAAAAGCCGGCCUCAGUUCGGAUUGUAGUCUGCAACUCGACUACAUGAAGCUGGAAUCGCUAGUAAUCGCGGAUCAGAACGCCGCGGUGAAUACGUUCCCGGGCCUUGUACACACCGGAGUGC
rnacentral:rRNA from 1 species